UCCUUUUGGUUUUGUUUGGAAUUGCAUAACUUUUAUUUAAAUUCUAUCGUUUGUAUAAACUAUACAUAUACAUUUGUUGUAUUUGAUUCUGAAACGUGAAAUUGCGUGUUAAAAUGCAGGGACUUGUAAGUUAAUUAACACAUGUGUUCUGGUGCUGAUAAGAAGAGGUGCAGGUGGUCAUCGAUGUCCGCAGUAUUUUCGACGUAAGAGGGGGCGCAUUCCUUCACAGCCGGCGUUAUCUAAUCUAGUAAUUGGCACAUUAUUUGUAAAUACCGGGGAAAGGAGAUUAUUCUAUGGUGGAAAUCGCGAUCCCUUAAAUACGUGAGUCAAGGUAAAAUAAGGCUGCUGAUCUCAGUUCGCGAUGGUGAAAAUAGUAUGGCUUCGACUACUUGGGUCUUCUCGACAUUCAUACACAUACCUUCCAAGUAAAAAGAACUUUAGCACAUUCUUCAAGUUUGGUAUUUCGUUAAGGUUGCUUCUAACAUCUUCCUUUAGGUUAAACCUAUCACGCUGAUUUACAUACUUAACACAAUCACAGAUUACAUGCUUCACAGAGAGAUCAACAUUACACGCAUUGCAUCGCGGCCUGGGAUCACCCGUCAAAAGAUAUUGGUGCGUGACAUUUGUGUGGCCUAUUCUUAACCGAUGUAUCUUUAUUUGUUCAUCUCUACGAAAAUCUUUCAGGUAUAGUUUUUCCUUCACCGAUAGUUUAACAUGUAAUUUUAACCAAAGUACCUCCUUAUCUAUCUAAUAAAAUCACCUACCGCUGCGAUGUACUUAAGAUUUCAAGGUAAAAUAACCCCUCCCCCACACAGCACAACCUUUUUUGAGAGAUCGUUUUCUUUUAAUGUAUAUACGAUUUACAAUAAUAGCUUACCCAAUCGUUUUAAGGAGUUACCUGUGAAGUUUUUUAAUUGUAAAUAUAAAGAUUUUUUGUUUAAUGAACAAUGUACAUUUGGAAGAUAAAUUAGCUUGACACAACUAGAUGGAAUAACGUAUUCAGAUAGAUAUUAUUUUUUACAACGCGUUUUUCAGAAGAAUAUUUACUUGGACUUUGAUUUUGUUCGUAGAUAUAUUGAGGUCGGAUUGAAAAGCAGACGUUGAUCUGAAUCCCACCUUACGGUUUAAAACUGUAGUAGUUCACA